rnacentral:tRNA from 1 species
GGACCGGUUGUCUAGUGGUCAGGAUGACGCACUCACACUGCGUAAGGGCAUCUGCCCCGCGACGGUCAUGGGUUCGACCCCCAUCCGGUCCA